rnacentral:rRNA from 1 species
GUUGAUAAGGUUAAGUGAAUAAGGGCGCACGGUGGAUGCCUUGGCACUAGGAGCCGAUGAAGGACGGGACUAACACCGAUAUGCUUUGGGGAGCUGUACGUAAGCUAUGAUCCAGAGAUUUCCGAAUGGGGAAACCCAACAUCUUUUAUAGGAUGUUACGUUUGCGUGAAUACAUAGCGCAUUCGAGGUAGACGCAGAGAACUGAAACAUCUAAGUACCUGCAGGAAGAGAAAGAAAAUUCGAUUCCCUGAGUAGCGGCGAGCGAAACGGGAAAAGCCCAAACCAAUGAGCUUGCUCAUUGGGGUUGUAGGACUCCAAUAUGGUAGUUCUUUCAGAUAAUCGAAUGACUUGGAAAAGUCAGUCAAAGAGGGUAAAAACCCCGUAGAUGAAAUUUGGAAGGCACCUAGGAGGAUCCUGAGUACGGCGGAACACGAGGAAUUCCGUCGGAAUCCGGGAGGACCAUCUCCCAAGGCUAAAUACUCCCUAGUGACCGAUAGUGAACCAGUACCGUGAGGGAAAGGUGAAAAGCACCCCGGAAGGGGAGUGAAAUAGAACCUGAAACCGUGUGCCUACAACAAGUCAAAGCCCGUUAAUGGGUGAUGGCGUGCCUUUUGUAGAAUGAACCGGCGAGUUACGAUUGCAUGCGAGGUUAAGUCGAAGAGACGGAGCCGCAGCGAAAGCGAGUCUGAAUAGGGCGUUUGAGUAUGUAGUCGUAGACCCGAAACCAUGUGAUCUACCCAUGUCCAGGUUGAAGGUGCGGUAAAACGCACUGGAGGACCGAACCCACGUACGUUGAAAAGUGCGGGGAUGAGGUGUGGGUAGCGGAGAAAUUCCAAACGAACUUGGAGAUAGCUGGUUCUCUCCGAAAUAGCUUUAGGGCUAGCCUCGGAUUUGAGAAUGAUGGAGGUAGAGCACUGUUUGGACUAGGGGCCCAUCUCGGGUUACCGAAUUCAGAUAAACUCCGAAUGCCAUUCAUUCAUAUCCGGGAGUCAGACUGUGAGUGAUAAGAUCCAUAGUCGAAAGGGAAACAGCCCAGACCACCAGCUAAGGUCCCAAAAUAUAUGUUAAGUGGAAAAGGAUGUGGGGUUGCACAGACAACUAGGAUGUUGGCUCAGAAGCAGCCACCAUUUAAAGAGUGCGUAAUAGCUCACUAGUCGAGUGACCCUGCGCCGAAAAUGUACCGGGGCUAAACAUAUUACCGAAGCUGUGGAGUACACCAUUAGGUGUAUUGGUAGGAGAGCGUUCUAAGGGCGUUGAAGGCAGAUCGUGAGGACUGCUGGAGCGCUUAGAAGUGAGAAUGCCGGUAUGAGUAGCGAAAGACAGGUGAGAAUCCUGUCCACCGAAUGACUAAGGUUUCCUGGGGAAGGCUCGUCCGCCCAGGGUUAGUCGGGACCUAAGCCGAGGCCGA